rnacentral:pre_miRNA from 1 species
UAUGUACUCCCUCCGUCCCAAAAUAAGUGACUCAGCUUUACACUAACUUUGUACUAAAGUUAGUACAAAGUUGAGUCACUUAUUUUGGGACGGAGGGAGUAUAAG